CAGCAAUAACAUUAAAAACUCAACUGUCUACAUCUGGUGACUCUGAUCCACUGUAAUGUGGUUUCAUUCACUAGUGUCACACUGGAUCCAGUCUUGUGAGGACCUUAGUAAAGGACAUAUUUCAAUAGCUGUUCUAGAAUGAACAGAGAGGCCCUGUAAACCAUGUGUAGGUCCCAUGGGAGAUAAUAGCCCUCUCUGAGAGCUCAUGGCAACUUGAGAAUGCUGACAGUGCCAGGAAGUCCUGUCUGAAAGAAACCUACUGAAUUUUGUUUGAUUCUGCAUUAUCCAACCGGCCUUGCCCACAGAGCACUUUCAGCUCUGGGGACACACAUUGCAGUUGCCAUCAGGUGGAUGUGACUACCCUCGUAACCUAGCCUGCAAGAUGAAGUUUUGGCUGUACCUUGACUUAUGCUGCAAACGUCUGAAAUAUUACUGCUGGGGUUGGCCAACGAGGUCCCCUCCUCUUCUCAAGACCAGAUUCAAGCCUUCAAGGGGCCCCUUGCUCAGAUCUCAGUGACCAAGCAUAGUGAUAUCCUUGGCAGUGACCCAUCUGCUGUUCCCAUUUGCCAAGUGGAAUGCACAGAGAACCAGUGACUCCUUUUUGAGUUCAAGCUCCCAGAGCAGCACCUGACUCUGAGUAGUUACUUGACCAAUACUGAGUGAACAGUGAGAAAGAAAAAUGAAACAAAAUGUGUCAUUAAACAGUCUGGAGAAAAAAGCCAAGGGAGCAAAAGAUGGCUUCUUAUUCUGCAUCUACCCCUCUCUUCAUGAAGACCUCCCCAGAUAUCUACCUGGUUCACUUUCUGGCCCUUACAGAACAGAAUAGAAAGAAAUCAUCCUUGGGAUGGAGUGUGUGUAUGUGUCCUGUCCGUACUUCCCUCUGUGAUUGACCUGCCUGCUUUCGUCUUACAGAGAAAGCCUGUAUUUCUCAUGUGACAUCAAAUGUUAAUUUUCUCCAGGGCCAUUCAGGCAGAACAGAGUCCUGCUUGCCACUCAUGGCUUUUCAGAACCGUCCAAACACAGGGGCCGGGCUAUGUGCACCACCUUCUGAAUUGCAGUUUAUGGAAAGCCUGCUCAUCCCUGCAGCUGCUGAACUUGAGUGCCUGGCCCUGGUCAACAACCCACAUUGGUUGCUGGGAUUGAAGGCAGGACUGUCACAGCAUUUCAAAAGUAUGGUAGGCUCAGUCUUUGCUCAGAUGGACUUGAAGGUAAGUGAGAGGCCCCUUCGAGCAGUUGGGGAGAUGCAUGAAUUGACUUCUACUGGUCACAGAGACAACACCCACUACCACUGAAUGGGAAAGGCAUGGCUCACAGACCAGGUGUUCCUACCCAGGCUUGAUAUCUGAGAAGAUACCUCAUCUCUUUUUAGAGCCCAUUGAGUCUGUAGUUGGAUGAACAAGGGUGGGUAAAAGGAUUAGGGCAGCCUUCAAAAGUACCCUCUCUUCUCUGGAGGCUGGCAUCCAAAGACGUGGCUCUGGCUUUCCUCUCUCCCUUCUUAAGACUGCUAUUUCUCCUCUCUUUGUAACAUUUAUGGGCAGCGUUCUUUUUGCAAAAGCCUACUAAAAAUGCAUUUAAUACUGUGAGAAAAUAAGGGUCUUUAGAAAAGGAUUUAGAUAUAUACCCUCAGCUAUCUUAAUGGCAAACCAAAAGCCUAAUUCUUACAGACUGUGAAAAUCCUUUUGUGUGUCACGUUGAGUAAGGCAUCUUGUGUCUUCUAUGUCUGCAGGGGGAAAUACCCUCAGAGAAGAUUGUUCUUAUUUUAUAGAACAUGCAGGUGUGCCACCCUGAGUGUGCACCUGCCCAGGGUGUGUGCAUGUAGUGUAUAUGUGGGAGGUAUAUGUGUAUUUGUGGUUUGUGGUGUGGUGUGGUGUUUCAAGUUACAGGGAUCAGGGAAACCAAGUGAGAGACAUUUUGACAUUUUCAAAUGGCAGCAGUGACUUACCAGGUCUCUUUCAACAUUUAGAGAGAUUAAAAAAAGAAAAACUGUACUCUGAAGGCAGUUGUUGGGAAGAAAGAUUUCCACUUGAACAGAUUGGUUUUGAAACAUUUCAUUUUGCUCUCCUAUCAAAUCCUUGUAAUAUUUUAAGUUAAUGUCUAUUAUUUUACUUUCUUUUUCUUUACAGGAUUAGAAGACGGCAUAUUCUUCAACAAUAGCUAUUUCAAAGCCAACCAAAUAUGUAGGCAGCUGCAAAGCAAGAGAAGAUGAAGAAAAAUAAAAUGUGAGGUUUGAAAUGGCUGAUAAAAUUU
rnacentral:lncRNA from 1 species